GUGCCCCAGCUGCUGCAGUUGGAGUUUCGGCCCCUACUGAUUUGUUUGGCUCCUUUAUGCAACCGCCGCCAGUAUCACAGCCAGCUCCGGCAGCUGGACCUGCAGCUCGGCCCAUCCCAGAAGACUUCUUCGAACACACAAUUUCAUCCAUUCAAGUUGCAAAGUCUCUUCCUCCUCCAGGUACCUAUCUUUCAAAGAUGGAGCAAACUUUCCAGGGAGCCGAAGGUGGCACCCCUGUAGCAACACC
rnacentral:lncRNA from 1 species